rnacentral:rRNA from 1 species
GACGAACGCUGGCGGCGUGCUUAACACAUGCAAGUCGAACGGAAAGGCCCUGCUUUUGUGGGGUGCUCGAGUGGCGAACGGGUGAGUAACACGUGAGUAACCUGCCCUUGACUUUGGGAUAACUUCAGGAAACUGGGGCUAAUACCGGAUAGGAGCUCCUGCUGCAUGGUGGGGGUUGGAAAGUUUCGGCGGUUGGGGAUGGACUCGCGGCUUAUCAGCUUGUUGGUGGGGUAGUGGCUUACCAAGGCUUUGACGGGUAGCCGGCCUGAGAGGGUGACCGGCCACAUUGGGACUGAUAUACGGCCCAGACUCCUACGGGAGGCAGCAGUGGGGAAUAUUGCACAAUGGGCGGAAGCCUGAUGCAGCAACCCCGCGUGCGGGAUGACGGCCUUCGGGUUGUAACCCGCUUUCGCCUGUGACGAAGCGUGAGUGACGGUAAUGGGUAAAGAAGCACCGGCUAACUACGUG